CCUACGGGUGGCAGCAGUGGGGAAUAUUGGACAAUGGGCGAAAGCCUGAUCCAGCCAUGCCGCGUGUGUGAAGAAGGCCUUCGGGUUGUAAAGCACUUUCAGUGGGGAAGAAAGCCUUGGGGCUAAUACCCUCGAGGAAGGACAUCACCCACAGAAGAAGCACCGGCUAACUCCGUGCCAGCAGCCGCGGUAAUACGGAGGGUGCGAGCGUUAAUCGGAAUUACUGGGCGUAAAGCGCGCGUAGGCGGUCUGAUAAGCCGGUUGUGAAAGCCCCGGGCUCAACCUGGGAACGGCAUCCGGAACUGUCAGGCUAGAGUGCAGGAGAGGAAGGUAGAAUUCCCGGUGUAGCGGUGAAAUGCAUAGAGAUCGGGAGGAAUACCAGUGGCGAAGGCGGCCUUCUGGACUGACACUGACGCUGAGGUGCGAAAGCGUGGGUAGCAAACAGGAUUAGAUACCCCUGUAGUC
rnacentral:rRNA from 1 species